CAUUGCUAAGACAGGGAUAUUUUCAUUAUUGCUAAGCAGUGCUCACACAGAAUCAGGGCUUUUUCAGCUCCUCACCCCACCAGAGAGGAGGUUGGGACAUCUCAAGAAGUUAAGAGGGGACACUGCUGGGACAACAGACACCAACUAGCCAAAGAGAUAUCCCACACAAUAUGACAUCAUAGCUGGGGGAAGAAGAAGGAGGCGGGGGGAUGAGAUGAUCAGAGUUAUGAUGUUUGUCUUACCAAGUAACCAUUACGAGUGAUGGAGCCCUGCCUUUCUGAGGAUGGCUGAACACCUGCCUGCCAAAAGGAAGUGGUGAAUUAAUUCCUUAUUUUAUUUUGCUUGUGUGCACUUGGCUUUUGUUUUACCUAUUGAACUGUCUUUAUCUCAACCCCUGAGCUUUCUCACUUUUAUCCUUCUGAUUGUUUCCCCCAUCCCACCAGGGUUGAGUGAGUAAGUGCCUGUGUGGUGCUUAGCUGCUAGCUGGAGUUAAACUCUGACAUCAUCCUGAUGCAUAAACUGCCUGGCACUUAACAGGUUUAGAGAGCUUGAUCCUCCCCAGUCCAAGAGUUCAAAUUUUUUUUACCCUUUGAAAAUUAUUAGCCAAUUGAAUGCAAGAGUAGCUGAUUCAUGAAAAAGAGGAAUGCAAAAUCUGGUCCUAGCAGGUAAGUGAAAAAAGGAAGAUGAUUUUCUGCCCUUCUCUUUAUUCUUUCUAAGUUUACCUACAUAAUCUGCUAUCAUUUUGAGGUGCCCCAUAGUUCAGGAAAAAUAUUUUCAGUACACCUUUGAACACUUGUCAGUGCAAUAUUGAAGGUUCAGAGAUAGCAAUACCAAUAUUACCAAUAAUUUUAAGAGCAAAAAGAACCAUGAAUAAUCAGCAUUAUUUUCAAAAGGUCAUUCAGCACAACUGAGCUCAGCCAUCUUAUAUCAAAACAUGUACAGGAUGUUAUUGCUAAGAAUGUUAGAUGACAUUCAAAGCAAAGGCUUGCUGUAAAGGGAGUACUAUGAUGGCUAUUUUCAGUAACUUGCCAUUUAGUUCUGUCAUUGAUAAACUGCAUAAUGUCACAGGACAUCCACUGGUUUUUGUUUUGAGCUGGAAACUCAAUUCUGAAAUGUACCUGAAAAUAAGAUGAAAUCAAGUGUCAUUAAAUUUAUUGCAGAACUAUAUUUAAUUUAACAAAGUUUAAGAAAUUGGUGUUUGUUGACUUUACUUAGACAUGAAAUACUCUUCUUUACUGUCUGAUUUGAAGUAGCUCCUACAAUUUCAAUUUAACACUUGUGUUUUUGAGUACAGUUUUGUACCUUACCAAAAUGCAGCCUCACAGAUCCAAGGCAGAAUAAUAUUGAGAAUAGAAGAGAAAACAAAGAUAAUAGGAGUGUUAUCUAUUUGUGUAUGCUAUCAGCGUUCACUACUGAUAAUUCUGAAUUCUUAUUUUGGUAUUUACAUAAAUAAUAAAGUCAAGGUGAAUUUCA